GCGGAAGGGUGAGUAAUAUAUCGGAACGUGCCCAGUAGCGGGGGAUAACUACUCGAAAGAGUGGCUAGGACCGCACACGCCCCAGGGGCGAAAGGGGGGGUUCGGAAGACCUCUCACUAUUGGAGCGGCCGAUAUCGGAUUAACUAGUUGGUGGGGUAAAGGCUCACCAAGGCAACGAUCCGUAGCUGGUUUGAGAGGACCACCACCCACACUGGGACUGACACACGGCCCACACUCCUACGGGAGGCAGCAGUGGGGAAUUUUGGACAAUGGGGGAAACCCUGAUCCAACCAUCCCGCGUGUAUGAUGAAGGCCUUCGGUUUGUAAAGUACUUUUGGCAGAAAAAAAAAGGUAUCCCCUAAUACGGGAUACUGCUGACGGUAUCUGCAAAAUAACCACCGGCUAACUACGUGCCGACAGCCGCGGUAAUACAUAGGGUGCAAGCGUUAAUCGGAAUUACUGGGCGUAAAGCGUGUGUAGGCGGUUCGGAAACAAACAUGUGAAAUCCCAGGGCUCAACCUUGGAACUGCAUUUUUAACUGCCAAACUAGGUUAUGUCAGAGGGGGGUACAAUUCCCCCUG
rnacentral:rRNA from 1 species